UCUGUCAUCAAUCACUCCUUAUUUCUUUUCUUUCAUCUUCUUCCUUAAUUCUUUUCCUUCGUCUUCUUCUUCAACAUUGAUGAUGGUAAUUUCUUCAUUGGAAAGAAGGAGAACGUGAUGCACCGCUUUAGAACCCUAAAAUCAAGCUCAUUCGUUAUGAAAGUGUCAUCAAGCUUCUCUUUGUGGAGUUGAAUCAGAUAAACCAUUUAAAAGUCGUGACCGCACUUAGGUCCCGUGGAGGUGACGAAGCUACAUCGCAUAAUGGGGAGGGAGUAGAGGUUGUUGUUGGAGGCGAAAAACCCCAUGUUCCAGUCGCUGGACUUGACCGGUCUGACGCACACGCUGAUGGUGUUGUACGAUCUGGUGUGGAUCGUGUAGAAGGUCGACAGAGUCGCCAAUGGAUCUAGUCAGAACAAUCCACUUUAACUUUUCUCAACGAAUGCUGAAUUUUUGGAAUGCUAAGCACAAACUUGAGUCUCAGACUUCAUGCUUUGAGGUUAACUUUUGGUACCUCCUUUCAAUCGAUUGAUGUUAUUGUUGUUAUGCUGAGUGUAGAAACUUUAUAAUCUUAUUCUAUAUAAUGGAAAUUUGAGGAACCGAUUGUGUAGAAAAUUAAUUGUUGAGCUCUGUUACUUCCUCGGCUGGUACUAGUAGUGGUGUUGUGACCACCCCUUCUGAGGUUAAGCAGAGAGAAGAGUUGGUGGUGCUGCCCGUGGAUAACGGAGAGAAUCUUAUCUCCGAUCACGCUCACUUCAAUCUCUCCACUACUCCUCCAUUUUCUGUUCAGGCCAUACAAACAUCUCAACAUCAUGCAAAGUCAAGGAAGUCUUUAGUUAGAAGGUUUUCUGCUAGAUAUACUGUGUAAUGGGAUUACCCAGGGGAUUUGAAGAAACUGUUUAGCAGUCCUGUUGGGAAUAUAAGUGUUAGAAAGGGCUCUAAGGAUGAAGGUGCUACUCAUAUUAUAUCAGAAGACAGAUCCUCACAGGUGAAGGAAAUUGAGGAAGUGAGACAUUCUUUGGGACAGGACAUCAAGAAUUCAGAACCUUCAGCGGAAUCAACAUGUGAACUAAUAAAAUUCCCAGUCAAAGAAAAUUCAGUUGAUAAAGAGAGUGAACAGGGAGAAACCAUGGCCGUGUGCAAGGAUGCACUUAGUAGGUAUGAGAAAAAGUUGAGCGAAUGAGUGUGGAGGAGUUUGAACGGGGCAAGCUUUGGUUAAGCGAUACUUUUUCUCUCAUAAGGUGUGAAGAUGACUCCCUUCCAAAUAUAAGAUGGGUCCUUGACCUUGCAAAAGUUGCAGUAUUAAGGCACGGGGUGCGAGGACUUGUAAUUGAUCCUUAUAAUGAGCUUGAUCAUCAGCGACCUCCAAACUAGACCGAAACAGAAUAUGUGAGAUGCUUACCUUAAUCAAACGCUUUGCACAACAUCAUGGAUGCGAUGUUUGGUUUUUAGCACAUCCUAGGCAGCUGCAUAAUUGGGUUGGGGGUCCUCCCAAUCUCUAUGAUAUAACUGGAAGUGCACACUUCAUAAAUAAGUGUGACAAUGGAAUUGUUAUUCACCGAAAUCGGGAUCCUGAAGCUGGACCUAUGAAUCAAGUACAGGGUAACUGGUGAAUACACACCAACAGAUAACAAGAGACCAACUGAUAGGCUUGUACAGUGGUCGACAACAACUACGUCCUAAAAUGAACUUAACUUCUGAUACUAGGAUUGUGUCUAAAACAUGGCCAUAGUGUCUUCAUUGGAGUGCCAAAGGGUUGAGAAUCUUGCUGACUUCUAUGAAUAUUGCAAGGGAUUGGAACUUGCCAUGAAUUUCAAGUUUCCAACACUAAGACAAGUUCUUUUUGUUUGUUACAGCAAGUCAUAUGAUAUUAUGUCUUUGCAUUAAAGUCACAAUUGGAUGAACAAAAUAAACGAAAUGAAGAACGUGACAAAAGACUUAAUGCAAUCAUGAACUUCUUUUCUCAAAAUUAUCAAGGUCAAUUGCCUCCUGAGUUGACUAUGUUCAAUCCUGCACCGGUUUCUGAUCAAGGAAGUGUGCCAACUAAUACAACAAGUUCUGGACAUGAGGAAAAUCAUAUGUGAUAGUUGAAGAAUAUAAUAUAAUAUGGAAGUUAAUUGAAUCAUUUUAUG